rnacentral:lncRNA from 1 species
GGGGCAGAAGGCUCUAGACCGACUGACUCUCAGCCUUAAUUCUUCUAAAUCAACUUUAAUCUGCCCCAAAUCCCCUCACAGCGCCACCAGGACUGUGCCAAGGCCAUGGGGGUCUUACACAGCAUGGAGACUUUGGGAGCUCCUCCUGUCAUCGGUUACUGGUCUUCCUGUUUACCAUUUGGACACCCACCCACUGAAGGAAUCUGAGAAGACACGGACCCUGCGGGUCAGUGGCUCUGAGCUUUCAGAGUAACAUUCCUGGUGCAGGAAUGUCUGGCAAGACUGGAAGCCCUGGGGUCUCAGGUCCAGGGGGCCCAGGGGCACCUGGCCUGACCUUUUGUUCACAGGCUUCCCUGAGAGCUCCCUCCAACCUGGGAGGGAAAAAGAAAUCUCUCUUCUAGACUGGGAGAAAAAAAAAAGGCUCUCUUCCACGCUCCUCUCAAAGGCACCCCCUGCAGGCCAUGAACACGGUCUCUCUGGGAGCUUGGGCUUUUAUUAAAGACACAGCAAGCCUGCCUUGCAGAAAUCCCUCAGGCAAGGCCUUGCCAAGGGCUGGCGACCUCCUGGUAAUGUGAGAAGACACUGGGAGAACACAUACUCCUUUCUCAAUUAACUAUCCUUCCAUGUCUCCGAGGAAAUCUGACUCCUGGACCAAGCUUGCCUUCUAAACAGGGUGAGAGCCUAGAGGCCAAGGGACAGGGCUGCGAGGGGAAAGACUCGGCCCAGCCAGUGAGUCGGGGGCAGGCUGGGAGGAGCAUGGUGGUGAGCCCAGCAGGGAAAGAAGGCCUCUGGUCCUGAAGGGCCAGAAGAAGUCACCGUCGGCCACCCUCACAGCCCAGGGUUGGGGCUUCUGGAGUGACUGAUAUCAACCUACAUAUGAGUCUGGCCCUGAUGCCAAGGGCUGAGAUUCAACAAGGCAACCGGGGCCAGAUGCAGCGGUGCUGGACCCUGUAGGAGCGAGCGCUCCUGUCUUACCGCAGAAAGCGCAGCCUCCUCAACCCUGUAUCCAGGACCCUCCUGUGCAGGCCAACCUGGUGCCACUGUGGGCCCUCCUUGCCCGUGCAGUCAGGGACAGAGCUGGCCUUCCACAAAAGCCACAGCGCAGAGCCCCGCUUCAUCACAUCCGUGACGCUCACACUCUCUGGUGCACUUUCUGUUCACUGGGGCUGUGGGGUGA